AGCAUCUAUGUAUAGACCCCAGUGCACAAGGUAUGCAGAGCUCAGUUUCAGUGAGAUCUAGGAAGACUCUGGACCCCACAGGAUUAGGAGUGAUGGGUAGCAUGGCUGUAAUAAGGAUCCACCUGCUAGGUGGCUGUGUCUGUCAAUCCUAUCAAUAUCCAGGAUAAAACAUGGGAAAAAUAGGGAAGAAGUGGCAAUUUCACUGUUUAAUACCAGAACUGCUAUUCUAAAAGAAAGAAGAGUCAUCAUGGAAAUGCAGAUAGAUAGUUAAUGAUUAUGAAAUUUCCUUGAACAAUUUCACUGGAGCAGGUGGAACUCUACCAGAUACAUGAAAUAUAAGACAGAGGCACAAACCAGCAAGUCUGAGGGGAGAUUCUUCAGAAAAAGCAAGCAGCAAGCUAACAGUAGUCCUAAGGUUCCCAAGACCAUCAGUGUGGGGACUCAGUUCAGACCAGACGUCUGAUGCAGCUUGAAGCCUGAUAGCAGAAGACUGACAAAAAAGCCAUGGGACAAUGAGGCAAGAGCGGCAGCGUCUUCGAGCUCAAGUGUGGAUCGGCGAGGCAAGAGGGAG